CACCUGUGUGUUUUAGAUGUGAUCUUCCUGGCCUACAGAGCUGAAUCUUCAAGUGAAUCAUUAAUUGUAAUAAAAAUGAAGGAGUUUCAUCUGUGUGAUACUGAAGUGCACCACUGGUAGAGGACCAGGACCACAAGUCUGAGGAUGUUCAGCUUACUGCAUCUCUUUGGGAUCUGUAGAGCCCACUUUACCUCAAAGGCAGGAAUGGACUACCAGUGCAAAUCUGGACUAAGGUGUCUAGAAAGCAACUAUUCCUUACAUACAACACCAGGGGCAGAUUGAGCCUCGUUGCCAGGCUUUGCUCCCACGUUGCUGCAUCCACUGUCAGCCCAAAUCCAUUGACUCUGGUGCCUGCCGAAAGCCCUGGCAUCUGCUACAGGAGAGGGAAAAAACCUCUGCCGAGCAA